UACGUAGGGCGCAAGCGUUGUCCGGAAUUAUUGGGCGUAAAGAGCUCGUAGGCGGUCUGUCGCGUCUGCUGUGAAAACCUAGGGCUUAACUCUGGGCGUGCAGUGGGUACGGGCAGGCUAGAGUGCGGUAGGGGGAGACUGGAAUUCCUGGUGUAGCGGUGAAAUGCGCAGAUAUCAGGAGGAACACCGGUGGCGAAGGCGGGACUCUGGGCCGAUACUGACGCUGAGGAGCGAAAGCGUGGGGAGCAAACAGG
rnacentral:rRNA from 1 species